UGGCUGGAAGUGUGGACAUCUUGUGUGCAGAGGGUCCUGACAAGGACUUUCACACAAGGGCAGCCCCGUCCCUCUUAAGUGGUGGAAACUAAAGGAGAGGCUGGGCGUACGGUCAGGAAAGAAGAGAAGGGCAGAGGCUGGGUGAGUCUGGUGUGGAAAGCGAGAGGAUGAGUCACUAACAAUGUCUGGAAGGGUCAGGGAUCUUAGGGCUCGGGGCAUCUGGGAAGUUGGGCCUAGUCCAUGGAGGUAUUUAUUCUUCAGGACUUCGGUGGGACCUACUGAGAAGAUGGGGUGGAGGGAGAAAGACUUUGGGAGAGAGCUCAGCUGCCUCCCAACUUAGUUUCUUCUUUUAGUUCCAUCCCACCCUGCAUCCCACCUUGUACCAGUCACCCUCUGUGGGCUGAGGGACCUAAGCAUUCCGGCUACAGCAAACGCUGGGUCCUGGCCUUAUGGGCCUUUUGAUCUAGUGGGCAAGCUGGACAAAGUUGCUCACCAGGACCCCAGUCUCCAACCCUGGAGGGCAACCCCAAUGGUUCUCCGCACCCCGCUCAUACUCCUGCCGCCAGGCUAAGGAGAGUCGCCAUUCUCGUGCCCAACCUCCUCUGGCUGCUGGAGCCCACUCCUGUGAGGAGGACCUGGCGUGUGGCUUGGGGCUCACGGAGACUUCUUUCCAGAUGCUCUUUCCAAGGCCUGCAGAACUUGCCAUCUGCCGGAGGCCUCUUGGUCCAGCAGCAGCAGCAGCAGCCAGCCGCCAGCCGCCCAGAUGUCUGCCCCCCAGCUCUUGCCCUCUGCUCCCCAGGGCUCUUGAAGUGUCUCUAAUGUUGACUUCUGCCCCCCACCCUGCUCCCAGCCCCUCCCCCACCCCCCGGGCUCUGGCAUCUGCUUUAUCAGGAUUCUCAAGAGGGACAGCUGGUUUAUGUUCCCAGCAUAUCUGCUCUGGUUUAAAAUAGCUUAUGUGGGCAGCUGGAGGACCACAUGAGCUUAUAUGGCGUGGGGUACUUGUUCCUUUCGCCCUGCGCCUGGCACCUGCCAAAAUAGCAGCCAACACCCUCCAUUGUGUCGUCUCCCCCCCCCCCCCAUCUCCCGCUGCACAUUCCUCCCACCGCAGGGCUUGGCUCUCAAGGCCCCAGCCCACAUGCCUGCUUAAAGCUCUCUCCAUGCCCUGCCCUCGGCCAGUCCCUGCCUGAGGCUGAGCAGAUACCCCAGGACCCGUGUGCAGCCCCCGUUCACAGCAGAGGGAGCAGAGUGGGGGACUUGCUGUGCUUGUCCCCAACCAAGCAGACCUGGACCAAUCCCAAGUUGCAGUGACUUCUGAGUCUCAGAACAUCUGGCGAGCGCCAGCUCUCUGGAAACAGCCCAGGCUCUGUGCUGACCAUCAGUUCAAUCUCGCAACACAUUGCCUUUCAUGGAUGUCCAUAGGUGUGUGUGUGUGUGCCUGGCUUGGGGCUCAGCCCUCUUCCCUGCAUUGGGAUAUACAGGGACAGCUGGAGAAGGCAGGGGUGGCACCAUCCAGGUCCCACCCUUCCAUACUGGCAAUCACGUCCCAGGGGGUGGCUUCAGUGCGGCCAGGAAGCAGGGCACAAGGGGAAGCUGUGGGGUGGUCCUGUCAAUCAGCGUGCUUCUGUUGCUCGAGCCCGCCACACUGUGUGCUCCUUCUCCUUUGUAACAGGGGGCAUUGUCCAAAUUUCAGGCAACCUGACAGUGUCCCCACGUUAGGCAGUUAUACGCCUCCUGGAACUGGCUUGUAAUAAUAUGGGUUGAGUUUGUUCUCAGGCCAGGCUCUUUACACUAUCUCCAAUCUGUUCAUUCUGUUGCAUACACCGCAGGGGAGGAGAACUUUCCCAAAGGGAAUUAUGGUGCAGGAAAAUGAAAUGACCUUUCCAAGGUCACACUCAAGGGCACCAGGUGACCCUCGCACUGAGGCCUUGCUCUUUCCACCUCUCCCUGUGGCUUCUUGUGACCAUGAAUGGACAUUAUUACACCUGGCCAUGCCUAGGCGUCCAUUCACUAACAUCUGCUGGAUCCUCAUACAGGCCCUUAUCGAGGGUAUCUGUACUCCCUCCAUCAUUCGGAGAGGGCCGUGGUUCAACUGUGCUCCAAGCACACCCACAUCUCAGCAAACUAACACAGGAGAGUCAGAACCCAGUGCGGUUGCUGCCACAGUUACAGGAAUAAUUCAAUCGGUUUCCCAGGAAAGCUUUAAAGCUGGAACCUUCAUUGAGAUUGUGCGGAUUGAUACUCAAGUCUAAGAAGUAACACAGAAGGGCUGGAGAGAUGGGUCAGCAGUGAAGAGCACAUAUUUAAGGAUCCAGGGUGGAUUCCUGGCUUCCACGUCAGGUGACUCAUAACCACCUGUAACUGAGCUUCGGGGAAUCUGAAUUCCUCUUCUGAACGCCAUAGGCACCCGCCCUCAUAUGUGUACAUCCUCACAUACAGACACACACAAUAAAAAAUAAAAAUAAGUCCCCCC